CACGCUGGCGCUCUGGCCGGUCAGCAAGCAGCUCUACCGCCGCCUCAACUGCCGCCUCGCCUACUCACUCUGGAGCCUAGCACAAAACUAGAAGCAACCCAAGCACCUGUCACUGGAGACUAAUUAUGCGGCGCCCAUACAGGGACCCUCUGCGGCCAUCAUGGAGAGCCUUCAACUUGCCCGUACAGUUUUAAGCGAAAAAGGAAGUAUACAACAAAGUCCAUAAACUGGUCAUGCUGCUGGAGUGGUGGUCCUGCACGGAGUGUACGCUCUUCACGGACCAGGCCACGGUAGAGCGCUUUGGGAAGGAGCACGCAGUCAUCAUCCUCAACCACAACUUCGAGAUCGACUUCCUCUGUGGCUGGACCAUGUGUGAGCGCUUCGGAGUGCUGGGGAGCUCCAAGGUCCUCGCUAAGAAGGAGCUGCUCUACGUGCCCCUCAUCGGCUGGACGUGGUACUUUCUGGAGAUUGUGUUCUGCAAGCGGAAGUGGGAGGAGGACCGGGACACGGUGGUGGAAGGGCUGAGGCGCCUGUCCGACUACCCCGAGUACAUGUGGUUUCUCCUGUACUGCGAGGGGACGCGCUUCACGGAGACCAAGCACCGCGUCAGCAUGGAGGUGGCGGCUGCUAAGGGGCUUCCUGUCCUCAAGUACCACCUGCUGCCACGGACCAAGGGCUUCACCACCGCGGUCAAGUGCCUCCGGGGGACAGUCGCAGCUGUCUAUGAUGUAACCCUGAACUUCAGAGGAAACAAGAACCCGUCCCUGCUGGGGAUCCUCUACGGGAAGAAGUACGAGGCGGACAUGUGCGUGAGGAGAUUUCCUCUGGAAGACAUUCCGCUGGAUGAAAAGGGAGCAGCUCAGUGGCUUCAUAAACUGUACCAGGAGAAGGAUGCGCUCCAGGAGAUAUAUAAUCAGAAGGGCGUGUUUCCAGGGGAGCAGUUUAAGCCUGCCCGGAGGCCAUGGACCCUCCUGAACUUCCUGUCCUGGGCCACCAUUCUCCUGUCUCCCCUCUUCAGUUUUGUCUUGGGCGUCUUUGCCAGCGGAUCACCUCUCCUGAUCCUGACUUUCUUGGGGUUUGUGGGAGCAGCUUCCUUUGGAGUUCGCAGACUGAUAGGAGUAACUGAGAUAGAAAAAGGCUCCAGCUACGGAAACCAAGAGUUUAAGAAAAAGGAAUAAUUAAUGGCUGUGACUGAACACACGCGGCCUGACGGUGUAUCCAGUUAACUCAAAACCAGACCAACACACAGAGUGGAGGAAAAGACAAUUAGAAACUAUUUUUCUUAUUAACUGGUGACUAAUAUUAACAAAACUUGAGCCAAGAGUAAAGAAUUCAGAAGGCCUGUCAGGUGAAGUCUUCAGCCUCCCACAGCGCAGGGUCCCAGCAUCUCCACGCGCGCCCGUGGGAGGUGGGUCCGGCCGGAGAGGCCUCCCGCGGACGCCGUCUCUCCAGAACUCCGCUUCCAAGAGGGAGCCUUUGGCUGCUUUCUCUCCUUAAACUUAGAUCAAAUUUU
rnacentral:sRNA from 1 species